UGGCGCAUGCGUAUUACGGGGCAGGCGCGGCGCUGAUGCUGUACACGCCGGACUCGGGAGCCCCCAGCAGCUGUCGCGCGGUGGAAGCGUGGGGAUGGCGUGUCGCGGGCGCCGGCCGGAGCACGGCGGACCCCCCGAGCUGUUUUACGACCAGAAUGAAGCCCGGAAAUACAUGCGCAACUCUAGGAUGAUUGAUGUGCAGACCAAGAUGACUGGGCGAGCAUUGGAGCUCCUUGAUCUGCCUGAUGGGAAGCCCUGUUUCCUGUUGGAUAUUGGUUGCGGUACUGGGCUGAGUGGAGAUUAUCUCUCUGAUGAGGGGCACUAUUGGGUGGGCAUCGACAUCAGCCUUGCCAUGCUGGAUGCAGCUUUGGACCGAGAAGCACAAGGAGACCUACUUCUGGGGGACAUGGGCCAGGGCAUUCCCUUCAAACCGGGCUCCUUUGAUGGUUGUAUCAGCAUUUCUGCUGUGCAGUGGCUCUGUAAUGCUAACAAGAAGUCAGACAUUCCCGCCAAGCGCCUGUACUGCUUUUUUUCAUCUCUUUAUUCUGUGCUGGUCCGUGGAGCCCGAGCUGUUCUGCAGCUAUACCCUGAGAACUCAGAGCAGUUGGAGCUAAUCACGACCCAGGCCAUCAGGGCUGGUUUCACUGGCGGUGUGGUGGUGGACUACCCCAACAGUGCCAAAGCGAAGAAGUUCUACCUCUGUUUGUUUUCUGGGCCAUCAACCUUUCUGCCAAAGGGCCUAAAUGAAAUUAAGGAAGAAGAGGAGGCAAAGGAAUCCACAUUCACGAACAAGAGCCGUGUCUCCGGCACAGGGUCCCACACAGGAUUGCACGGAGUGGGGUGGUGAGGAAGAUGAAGACCCGAGAGUGGGUGCUGGAGAAGAAAGAGCGCCGUAGACGCCAGGGCAAGGAAGUCAGACCUGACACUCAGUACACCGGCCGCAAGCGCAAGCCCUACUUCUGAGCUGUUAGCUGCACUGAAUGGUGGGACAGCUCGGGGUCCACACAGUUGUGAGCUGUGCCAUCCAGCUCAGGCACUGCCUCUGGAAGGUUUUAUAUAUUGAAGUAUCUACUCCAUCAGCUGACAAAAGAGUGUCUAGAAAAGUUCUAAUAGCCCUGACCAACAUGGCUCAGUGGUUAGAGCGGCCUGCACACCAAAAGGUCAUGGGUUGGCUCCCCGCCCCUGGUUGGGGUGUG